AAACUGUAGGGAGGGUGCAGUUCUGAGCAGAGCUCCCUCCACAAGCCAAGUCAUGAUUCUGUAAGCGAUGUGGACCGAUCUGCUGAGUUCUAGGUAUGGCAUUUCCACAGCAUCAUGGAUCAAGCAAAGCGUUUUUCAAUGCAGAAUAAGCAAGCGAUACCACAGCGGGAGUCCCAGAGCGUCACACCACUGGAGGUCCUCGCUCACAGGUGGUGAGACUACAAGCCAAAGCAUUGCAGAGCAAGAGUCUUAUUCUGCUGCCCAGAGCUGGACUUGAACUCAGAAGACUCCUGCCUCAGCUUUCUCAGUAGCUGGAGUUACAGGUGUUCACCACUGAAGCCAGCAUAUUGAACCAGCAUGGGGAGGCGAUGGGCUCCAGGUUGCGUUCCCAGGAGGAGCUGGAAGCCGAGAUCCCUGGCAGGUGCAGUUCACAGUGGGUUCCAGCUCCUGCAAGCAUCUGCUGUGGGCUAACCCUCCCACUGAGGGGCAACACUUCCAGUGCUGAUGAAGCUUGUAGCCCGUCCACCCCCGGCCAUGCGUGGGGACCAGUCCUAGUCCUGCCCGCAGCAGGAGGUGAUUGAUCGUCUCUUCCAAGGCUGCAAGGUGUCUGAACUUAUGCUCUGGCUCCUUUGAGGCUCAGCCCUGACUGAAUGCCUAUAAUAUUUGUAACUCUGCUGCCUGUGACAAAGGGACAGUGUCAGAAGAGAGGACAGGACUGUCCAGGAGAUCUCAUUACCACCAGAUCCAUCCAUCACUGACUGAACUACUCGGACUUGCUGCUGAAGACUGAUGGGGCUUGGGGCUCACAGCCCUCCAUUAAGGUAUUCUUCUCUGAGUGCCAAGUCCCACUGGAUGUCUCAGGAUGAAUAAAAGCCUUUCCCACAACCAGGGAGACUGCUGAUGUACUCACUAAAGUCCUGUUACAGGAAAUCAUCCCAAGUACUACAACUAAAACGGAGUGGCCCCUACCCAGUCUUCCUCGGAAUCUCAACAGUGGUCAAGGUCGCUGGAGUGCCAUCCUGGUUCCACAUCACUCAAGCUAAGCGAUGCCCUCCUAACCCUAACUCCCCUGACUCACAUAUUCUGAGAGGUCAUCUCACCUCCCAUCUCCCCUUUCUGGCUCACCAAGGCCCCACAGCCACAGUUUUCAGGCUAGGUCAUGUUUUGUUAUCCUGUUUGGUUCCUGAUCCCUUCCAUUCUAUUAGUGAAUUUUUCACUGUAACUAUCUUAGUUCUCUCGGCCCUCAGCUGUUUAGUUAAACAUGAGACUCCUGUAGGUCUAAGAUCUCAUGUCACUUAUAUAGACAGAGUCACGACCCUCCCCACUCCUAUUCUAUAAUUUCCCAAACACAAUUCAGUCAUCAGGCCUUGUAUUUCUCAUGCUUCUUAUUCUUUCCAGCUCAACUCCUGGGCCAAAGAUGAGCCCUACCUACCUACACUAUUAACUUUUACCCUUUCAGAUGGGGAAAUAAUUACCUCUCACAAUUCCACCCCCCAAACUCCACGCUUAUUUUUCAGACUCUCCCUCACCAUGGCCACUUAGAUCAAGGCCACUUUUCCUUCUACCCCUCCUGGGCCCUUUAAUUAUGACAGUGGCCUGCCUCCUCAUAGCCUUGUGUUUUUAUUUCUCCAAUCGAGGAUGCGAACAUUCACCAAUGAUUAAUUCCUUGUCCUGGCUGAAACAUCUGGUACCAGCUUCUACAGGGUCAUCAACCUUCAUUCUGUCAACCUUCCUGAACCCCAAUGGCGCCCCCUUUCAGCAGCAAGUAAGCCAUUGAAGUCAACCGACCUUAAGGCAGGAGGCAGAAUGUUGGAGAGAGCUUCCAUCGGUCCAAGACUCCACGGGAAGGGGCUAAGAUCUAGAAGACAGUGUGCCUAUCUUCUGAGACAAGUAGCAGUGGCAGAUGUGACCUUUGCUGCUGUACACCUGGUGCGUGGCUGAUCCUACUGCCCUCUACGCACGUCCUGUCCUACACACUCUGUCCCUCACACUCGAAGUGAUAAUAGUAUUUCAGAGCAACCCUAAGCGCUUUUCCUGGAAUCCGUGUCUUCUUUCCAGCCUCAGCCUGAAGUCCUCUGUGAGAUUUACCUAUCGGUGCAGACCACAGAGGACUGCGGUUCUGAGCUUCGCCCUUCUCUCCUCACAGCUCACAGGAAUCUGCCCUUUGUCCUGGGCUCUAUGCAACCCCCAGGCCCUCGCCUUCCAAAGGUUUUGGCUUGGCCAGCUGGUUUUCCGGACCUUGUGUGAUGUAGAUUUUGAGCAAUUUUACGAGAAAAGGAGCUCAGGGAGGUGUCUCUACCGUGGGUGGUCCAGGGUUGAGGUUCCUGGGGUGCAGCGACAAUGCAUCAAGCUUUGUGAGAGCACAUUCAGGGUCUCAGCAGGAGAGGAAGCCCACUGCUCUGAAUCCAACGGGGCAUUCCUUUCUGUGAGGACUGUCUUGCUCCCUAAUAAAACUUUAUGACAAUUGA